UUGAUGGAGAGGUCACAGAAUGUGUUGUAUCUUAUGUUGAAGCAGAUCCUGUUGAAAAGCACAUAUACUUUUUAAAGUUUGCACGAGUUGUAGAAAAUAAAAUAACUGAGUUAAACAUCCCUUGCAGCUUAAUUGGCUUAAUAGGAUGUCCUGCUUAUAUUAAUGGAUACCAUGUCCAGUUGGCUUUAAAUUAUAUAAAAUGUAAAGUAUUAGGAAACAAUAUUCCCCCACCUUUUCAAAUUGAUGUCUCUAAGUUAACAUAUAAAGAACCAUAUAAUUCUAUUAAUUUAAAGGAUUUAAAGAGUAUGAUUUAGAUAAGACAGAGGUAGUUUGGACAUAUGAAACAGGAAAAAUACCAGAAACACCGUUACCAGACGAUUAUAUGGACCCCAACUUUUUGAACAAACAAGGAAAAAGAAUUCAAUUAACAUAUAAAGAUUAUUGGCCAAAACAAUAAAUGUAAUUUUUUUUUUUUUUUUUACA
rnacentral:lncRNA from 1 species